GAAUUCGAUAGAGUUUGAUCAUGGCUCAGGACGAACGCUGGCGGCAUGCCUAAUACAUGCAAGUCGAGCGAACAGAUGAAGUGCUUGCACUUCUGACGUUAGCGGCGAACGGGUGAGUAACACGUAAGGAAUCUACCUAUAAGCGGGGGAUAACAUUCGGAAACGGGUGCUAAUACCGCAUAAUAUCUUCUUCCGCAUGGAAGAAGAUUGAAAGACGGCUCUGCUGUCACUUAUAGAUGACCUUGCGGUGCAUUAGUUAGUUGGUGGGGUAACGGCCUACCAAGACGAUGAUGCAUAGCCGACCUGAGAGGGUGAUCGGCCACAUUGGGACUGAGACACGGCCCAAACUCCUACGGGAGGCAGCAGUAGGGAAUCUUCCGCAAUGGGCGAAAGCCUGACGGAGCAAUGCCGCGUGAGUGAAGAAGGCCUUCGGGUCGUAAAACUCUGUUAUAAGAGAAGAACAAAUUGUAGAGUAACUGCUACAGUCUUGACGGUAUCUUAUCAGAAAGCCACGGCUAACUACGUGCCAGCAGCCGCGGUAAUACGUAGGUGGCAAGCGUUGUCCGGAUUUAUUGGGCGUAAAGGGAGCGCAGGUGGUUUCUUAAGUCUGAUGUGAAAGCCCACGGCUUAACCGUGGAGGGUCAUUGGAAACUGGGAAACUUGAGUACAGAAGAGGAAUGUGGAACUCCAUGUGUAGCGGUGGAAUGCGUAGAUAUAUGGAAGAACACCAGUGGCGAAGGCGACAUUCUGGUCUGUUACUGACACUGAGGCUCGAAAGCGUGGGGAGCAAACAGGAUUAGAUACCCUGGUAGUCCACGCCGUAAACGAUGAGUGCUAGGUGUUGGAGGGUUUCCGCCCUUCAGUGCCGCAGUUAACGCAUUAAGCACUCCGCCUGGGGAGUACGACCGCAAGGUUGAAACUCAAAGGAAUUGACGGGGACCCGCACAAGCGGUGGAGCAUGUNGUUUAAUUCGAAGCAACGCGAAGAACCUUACCAAGUCUUGACAUCCUUUGACCACCCUAGAGAAUAGGCUUUCCCUU
rnacentral:rRNA from 1 species